ACCACAGAUGUUUCAUGUCAUGAGUUGUGUGUAUCACCACCCUAAAAAGCCUCUGUAUAUCCACCAUUAUCGUGCAGUAGGAUUUGGUGGCUAUGUGAGUGUAGAUGAUAGCAUCAAUAAUCAACAUACUUUAUCUCAGCCAACUUAUAGGAUUUUCGUCUCAUCAUUACUCCCACUUUUAGCUUAUUCUUUUACACAACGUAUAUACCAUUUUCUAC
rnacentral:lncRNA from 1 species